CAUCACCUAAACCUAUUCCACAAGACAAGGCUUUCUUCUACGAUGUCCAUCUUAUUCAACAAUUGAGAGUAUAUAUACAAACAACCCUUUUUCCGUACCCAUAGGCCUAUGCAUGAAUUCUACCAUUAAUUAACAAUAUACUAUGCAGUGAACACAUAUUUAAGACUAGUCAAUUAAUAACCUAGGCUACCUGGGUGCCAAGCAGCUGCACAGGAUUAUGGCUCCAAUUCUGGUUUCCAGACCUCGAGACG
rnacentral:lncRNA from 1 species